UACAGAGGUCUCAAGCGUUGUUCGGAUUCAUUGGGCGUAAAGGGUGCGUAGGCGGCGCGGUAAGUCGGGUGUGAAAUCUUGGAGCUUAACUCCGAAACUGCAUUCGAUACUGCCGUGCUUGAGGACUGGAGAGGAGACUGGAAUUUACGGUGUAGCGGUGAAAUGCGUAGAUAUCGUAAGGAAGACCAGUGGCGAAGGCGGGUCUCUGGACAGUCCUGACGCUGAGGCACGAAGGCCAGGGAGGCAAACGGG
rnacentral:rRNA from 1 species